rnacentral:rRNA from 1 species
AAAUAAAAAAAAAUUAUUAUAAUUAUUAUUAAAAAUUAAAUUAAAAUAAGAAAAUUUUAUUUUAUUAUUCUUUAGAAAAAAUUUUAUUAAUUAUAGUUUAUUAGUAUUGUGAAAGAAAUUUUAUUUUAUAAAAAAAGAAGAAUUAUAUUUUUGUACCUUGUGUAUCAGGGUUUAUUAAAUAAUUUUAAAAUUUUAAAUUUCUCGAAUUUGGAAGAGUUAAUUAAAUAUUUUUUUUAAUGUAUAAUAAUUAUUAAAAAUAUUUGGUUAGAAAUGAAACGUUAAUCGUUUUCAAAUAUAUCUAGUUAUAGAAGAAAAAAAUUUAAUUAGUUUAUUAUUAAUAUUUAAUUAAUUAUUUAUUUUAAUAUUAAUAAUAGGUUAUAUUAUUAGGGAUGAGCUUAAUAAUAUAAAAUUAAAAAAAUAUUAGUUUUUUUGAAUAAUAAGAUUAGAAGUGUCUAUUUUAAAAAUAAUGUUAUAAUUAAUCUAAUAAAUAUAAAAUUUAUAUUAUUUUUAAGUUAUUUAUUUUAUUAUAUUUAAGAAUUUUUAAUAAUUAGUAAUAAUGAUAAAAUUAGUAUUUUAAAAUUUUUAUUAAUAAAUAUAAAAAAUUUAGGUUAAAUAAAGGAAUUCGGCAAUUUAUUUUUCACCUGUUUAUUAAAAACAUGGCCUUUUGUUUAAAAUUUAAGGUCUCACCUGCCCACUGAAAAAAUUUGAAUGGCCGCAGUAUUUUGACUGUGCAAAGGUAGCAUAAUCAUUAGUUUUUUAAUUAAAAGCUGGAAUGAAGGGUUGAAUGAAAAAAAAACUGUCUCUAUUUAAUUUAUAGAAUAAUUUUAUUUUUAAGUUAAAAAGCUUAAAUUAUUUUGAAAGACGAGAAGACCCUAUAGAGUUUUAUAAAAUUUUAUUAAUAAAAUUUUUGGAAAUUUAAAAUAAAAUAAUCAAAUUUUAUUUAAUUGGGGUGAUUGAAAAAUUUAAUAAACUUUUUUUAAAUUAAAACAUUAAUUUAUGAAAAUUUGAUCCAUUAUUUAUGAUUAAAAGAUAAAAUUACCUUAGGGAUAACAGCGUAAUAUUUUUUUAGAGUUCAAAUCGAAAAAAGAGAUUGCGACCUCGAUGUUGGAUUAAAAUUAAUUCUUGGUGUAGAAGUUAGGAAUAUUUGGUCUGUUCGACCAUUAAAAUUUUACAUGAUCUGAGUUUAAACCGGUGUGAGCCAGGUUGGUUUCUAUCUUUAAUAAAAAAUAAUAUUUUAGUACGAAAGGACCAAAUAUUAAAAAUAAUUUUUUAUUAUGAAUAUUAUU